CUAUUCUGCAACUCUCUCUGCUCGUUGUUGCUGAAUUCACUCUUGCCGAUAAUAUCAGAGGAAUCGAAUUGAUGGGUUGUGAUUGCUCGUAAUCAUGCACUUGUUGUACCUGCUCUCAAAUCCCUAUCUUCCUCGCACAACUCUUCCUCAGGCGAGGCCAUCGAUAUACUCUGAUGAUGCUCAGACUCAAAGGAGGACCCAAGACAUUCUUCCACGCAUCCCUCUUCCUUCUCACAUCAAAUCUAUUACAAGCCCAUCAAACCCAUUUGUCAAACACUGCCUCAAGCUUCGCCAAAGCUCAACUUAUCGCCAUUUUCAUGGUUCUGCCCUUGUCGUUGGAACCACCCCAAUAAGUGAAAUAUAUAGAUUUCAAGAUUCAAUCCAGGGAUCAACUACAAUGGAUUGUUUGCUUUUGCUUGAUGGAACUGAAGUUCCCAAAGAGUUGUGCAACUCCCCCAUCCGAAUUGUGCAUGUGAGUCCUUUGGUAAUGAAAAAACUUUCUGGGGUGCAAUCAAUCGAUUCUAUCGAAGCUGCCGCUCUGAUGAGACUUCCUCCUAGUUUCCAUGAUAUGGAUGACAAACAAAAAGAAGAGAACUGUGGGAGGUGGUUCCCUUCCCUUCAUAGAGUUCUGGUCCUUGAUGGAAUCCAGGACCCUGGUAACCUAGGUACAUUACUAAGAUCUGCAAUGGCCUUCAGAUGGGAUGGUGCCUUUUUGCUGCCUGGCUGCUGUGAUCCUUUCAAUGACAAAGUGCUCCGAGCAACCCGAGGAGCUUCCUUUCAGCUCCCUAUUGUUUCCGGAAAUUGGGGUCAUCUCAAAACUUUGGCAACUGAAUUCAAAAUGAAGUUGUUGGCUGGACACCCAGAGAUUACAACAGAUUUUAAGUCCUCAUCUUUGCUCUCACAAAAGCUUGCAGACUCUUUGGCUGAUAAUCCUUUGUGCUUGGUCUUGGGGAGUGAAGGGCAUGGUCUAUCAGACCAAUCUAAGCAGGAUUCAAAAUCCCAAUGGCAACAUUGAUAAGAAAGAACUCCAGAAGACCAAACCCAAGCACACACGAAAACUCAAAAAAUACCUGAGCCAACGAAGGAGGAGCACCCCAAACCAACAAUCAUGAAGAAGAAGAAAAAGAUGAUCGAUAGUUUGGAGCUUCGGAGCUUGAGACUCUUCCCUCUACAAACAACAGGGCCCUGAUGUUAAUUUUGGUCACAGGACAAAUGGUAUUACCCUACAAGUUUGCUGAGCCAACUCCACCAGAGAAGAGUUCGGUUAUAAGGUGCAGUUAAGGGGGAGGAGGGAGGAGGGAUCUAUCAACUUUAUCCCUUAUGUUCUGAUAUUGGCAUGAACAGGCUCAAUCUUAGGGUAGGAAUUAUGUCAUGGGCUUGAAAUUUUUCUUUCUUUAUAUGGUUGCAUAUUUCCCCUAUUCCAACUCCUUUGGUCAAUCCUUUAUUCAUCUUAAAAAUUCUUUGCGGGGAGGCAAUGAGCGGUAAUGAACAUCCAACGGCUGGGGGAUUCUUACUAUCACUUACCGCUGAUUGUAGUGGAUUUGAAUCCAAGAGAACACUACCUCUUGUUGCAAGUAAAUGCCAAUGGGCACGGCCAAUGUGAGGGUGCACACGUGCAUCUUAAUUUCAAUUGAUUCAGCUUGCCUGAUCCUUGAAUAAAAUCUGGGCAUGAAAUCACCAAUUCAGACCCCAA